rnacentral:rRNA from 1 species
GACGAACGCUGGCGGCGUGCUUAACACAUGCAAGUCGAACGGAAAGGCCCUGCUUGCAGGGUGCUCGAGUGGCGAACGGGUGAGUAACACGUGGGUGAUCUGCCCCUUACUUUGGGAUAAGCCUGGGAAACUGGGUCUAAUACUGGAUAGGACCAUGCUGUAGGUGGUGUGGUGGAAAGAUUAGUUUCGGUAAGGGAUGAGCUCGCGGCCUAUCAGCUUGUUGGUGGGGUAAUGGCCUACCAAGGCGUCGACGGGUAGCCGGCCUGAGAGGGUGGACGGCCACAUUGGGACUGAGAUACGGCCCAGACUCCUACGGGAGGCAGCAGUGGGGAAUAUUGCACAAUGGGCGCAAGCCUGAUGCAGCGACGCCGCGUGGGGGAUGACGGCCUUCGGGUUGGAAACUCCUUUCAGCCAUGACGAAGCCUUCGGGUGACGGUAGUGGUAGAAGAAGCACCGGCGAACUACGU